rnacentral:rRNA from 1 species
UACAGAGGGGGCAAGCGUUGUUCGGAAUUACUGGGCGUAAAGGGCGCGUAGGCGGCCUGCUAAGUCGAACGUGAAAUCCCCGAGCUCAACUCGGGAACUGCGUCCGAUACUGGCAGGCUUGAAUCCGGGAGAGGGAUGCGGAAUUCCAGGUGUAGCGGUGAAAUGCGUAGAUAUCUGGAGGAACACCGGUGGCGAAGGCGGCAUCUUGGACCGGCAUUGACGCUGAUGAGCGAAAGCCAGGGGAGCAAACGGG